rnacentral:rRNA from 1 species
CUUGCCAUCCUCAGGGAAGAGGAGGAAUAUUGGCUCCGGACGGGUGGCGUUAAGUGGAUUACCAAGGGGGACGCUAACACGGGCUAUUUCCAUGCCUUCGCCAACGGCCGCAAGAGGAAAUGUUCGAUCCUGAGAUUGCAAUCGGACCAGGGGCUACUGGUCAGUCAAGCCGAAAUUUCACGGCACAUCUACGAUUUCUUCCUUAACCUGUUGGGAACAGUGGAAGAAAAGCCCCUUCGCCUCCGUGUAGACUUCUGG